rnacentral:rRNA from 1 species
GCUUGUCUCAAAGAUUAAGCCAUGCAUGUCUAAGUAUAAACUGCUUUAUACUGUGAAACUGCGAAUGGCUCAUUAAAUCAGUUAUAGUUUAUUUGAUGGUACUUACUUACUCGGAUAACCGUAGUAAUUCUAGAGCUAAUACGUGCGUAAAUCCCGACUUCUGGAAGGGACGUAUUUAUUAGAUGGAAACCAAUGCGGGGCAACCCGGAUUAUGGUGAUUCAUAAUAACUUUCAGAUCGAUCGCAAGAUCGAUGCAUCAUUCAAGUUUCUGCCCUAUCAGCUUUGGAUGGUAGGGUAUUGGCCUACCAUGGCUUUAACGGGUAACGGAGAAUUAGGGUUCGAUUCCGGAGAGGGAGCCUGAGAAAUGGCUACCACAUCCAAGGAAGGCAGCAGG